UGACAUGUAAAGCCCGGGUCGGGAUGCUUUUGCAGCUCAUGCAUAAUGUGGCACUGUGAGAUCCACAUCCAUCAAACAUGUUAAACCAAUACAUUGUAUGUG